rnacentral:rRNA from 5 species
UGACCUCAAAUCAGGUAGGACUACCCGCUGAACUUAAG